CCAACGGGUGGCAGCAGUGGGGAAUAUUGCGCAAUGGGGGAAACCCUGACGCAGCAACGCCGCGUGAGUGAAGAAGGUUUUCGGAUCGUAAAGCUCUGUCUUUGGGGACGAAAUAAAUGACGGUACCCAAGGAGGAAGCCCCGGCUAACUACGUGCCAGCAGCCGCGGUAAUACGUAGGGGGCAAGCGUUGUCCGGAAUUACUGGGCGUAAAGAGCACGUAGGCGGUUUAUUAAGUUAGAUGUGAAAGUUUGCAGCUUAACUGUAAAAGUGCAUUUAAAACUGGUAGACUUGAGUCUCGGAGAGGUAAGCGGAAUUCCUAGUGUAGCGGUGAAAUGCGUAGAGAUUAGGAAGAACACCGGUGGCGAAGGCGGCUUACUGGACGAGUACUGACGCUCAGGUGCGAAAGCGUGGGGAGCAAACA
rnacentral:rRNA from 1 species